AAUGAACGCUGGCGGCGCGCCUAAUACAUGCAAGUCGAGCGAGAAGACGUAGCAAUACGUUUGUAAAGCGGCGAACGGGUGAGGAAUACAUGGGUAACCUACCCUCGAGUGGGGAAUAACUAGCCGAAAGGUUAGCUAAUACCGCGUACGCUCCUUGGACUUCGGUUCAGGGAGAAAGCGAUACCGUGGGUAUCGCGCUCUUGGUUGGGCUCAUGUCCUAUCAGCUUGUGGUGAGGACGGCUCACCAAGGCUUCGACGGGUAGCUGGUCUGAGAGGACGAUCAGCCACACUGGCACUGCGACACGGGCCAGACUCCUACGGGAGGCAGCAGUAAGGAAUAUUGCGCAAUGGGCGAAAGCCUGACGCAGCGACGCCGCGUGGGGGAUGAA
rnacentral:rRNA from 1 species